AGAACGAACGCUGGCGGCAGGCCUAACACAUGCAAGUCGAGCGGAUCCUUCGGGAUUAGCGGCGGACGGGUGAGUAACGCGUGGGAACAUACCCUUUGGUACGGAAUAGCCUCGGGAAACUGAGAGUAAUACCGUAUGUGCCCUUCGGGGGAAAGAUUUAUCGCCAAAGGAUUGGCCCGCGUUGGAUUAGGUAGUUGGUGGGGUAAUGGCCUACAAGCCGACGAUCCAUAGCUGGUUUGAGAGGAUGAUCAGCCACACUGGGACUGAGACACGGCCCAGACUCCUACGGGAGGCAGCAGUGGGGAAUCUUAGACAAGUGGGGGAAACCCUGAUCUAGCCAUGCCGCGUGAUCGAUGAAGGCCUUAGGGUUAGUAAAGAUCUUUCGAGUUGGGAAAGAAUAAGUGAACGGUAACCCAAGAAGAAACGAACGCCCCGGACUAAACUCCCGUGCCAAGCAAGCCCGAC
rnacentral:rRNA from 1 species